AUGCAAGUCGAACGCAGUAGCAAUACUGAGUGGCAAACGGGUGAGUAUAAUGUGGGAAUCUGCCUUUUGGUUUGGAAUAACACGGGGAAACUUGUGCUAAUACCAAAUAAGCCCUUACGGGGAAAGUUUUAAUGCCGAAAGAUGAGCCCGCACUUGAUUAGCUAGUUGGUAAGGUAAAAGCUUACCAAGGCAACGAUCAAUAGCUGUUCUUAGAGGAAGACCAGCCACAUUGGGACUGAGACACGGCCCAGACUCCUACGGGAGGCAGCAGUGGGGAAUCUUGCACAAUGGGGGAAACCCUGAUGCAGCGAUGCCGCGUGAGUGAAGAAGGCCCUUGGGUUGUAAAACUCUUUCGUCGGGGAAGAAAAUGACUGUACCCGAAUAAGAAGGUCCGGCUAACUUCGUGCCAGCAGCCGCGGUAAUACGAAGGGACCUAGCGUAGUUCGGAAUUACUGGGCAUAAAGAGCUCGCGGGUGGUUAAAAAAGUUGAUGGUGAAAUCCCAAGGCUCAACCUUGGAACUGCCAUCAAAACUUUUUAGCUAGAGUGUGAUAGAGGUAAGUGGAAUUUCUAGUGUAGAGGUGAAAUUCGUGGAUAUUAGAAAGAACACCAAAUGCGAAGGCAACUUACUGGGUCACUACUGACACUGAGGAGCGAAA
rnacentral:rRNA from 1 species